rnacentral:rRNA from 1 species
GACGUAGGGCGCGAGCGUUGUCCGGAUUUAUUGGGCGUAAAGAGCUCGUAGGCGGCUUGUCGCGUCGGAUGUGAAAACCCGGGGCUUAACUCCGGGCCUGCAGUGGGUACGGGCAGACUAGAGUGCGGUAGGGGAGACUGGAAUUCCUGGUGUAGCGGUGAAAUGCGCAGAUAUCAGGAGGAACACCGGUGGCGAAGGCGGGUCUCUGGGCCGUAACUGACGCUGAGGAGCGAAAGCGUGGGGAGCGAACAGG